GGUAGCCUAGUGGUUAGAGGGGUGGCAGGUAGCCUAGUGGUUAGAGGGGUGGCAGGUAGCCUAGUGGUUAGAGGGGUGGCAGGUAGCCUAGUGGUUAGAGGGGUGGCAGGUAGCCUAGUGGUUAGAGGGGUGGCAGGUAGCCUAGUGGUUAGAGGGGUGGCAGGUAGCCUAGUGGUUAGAGGGGUGGCAGGUAGCCUAGUGGUUAGAGGGGUGGCAGGUAGCCUAGUGGUUAGAGGGGUGGCAGGUAGCCUAGUGGUUAGAGGGGUGGCAGGUAGCCUAGUGGUUAGAGGGGUGGCAGGUAGCCUAGUGGUUAGAGGGGUGGCAGGUAGCCUAGUGGUUAGAGGGGUGGCAGGUAGCCUAGUGGUUAGAGGGGUGGCAGGUAGCCUAGUGGUUAGAGGGGUGGCAGGUAGCCUAGUGGUUAGAGGGGUGGCAGGUAGCCUAGUGGUUAGAGGGGUGGCAGGUAGCCUAGUGGUUAGAGGGGUGGCAGGUAGCCUGGUGGUUAGAGGGGUG